UACGUAGGGUGCAAGCGUUGUCCGGAAUUAUUGGGCGUAAAGAGCUCGUAGGCGGUUUGUUGCGUCGGCUGUGAAAACCUGCAGCUUAACUGUGGGCCUGCGGCCGAUACGGGCAGACUUGAGUUCGGUAGGGGAGACUGGAAUUCCUGGUGUAGCGGUGAAAUGCGCAGAUAUCAGGAGGAACACCGGUGGCGAAGGCGGGUCUCUGGGCCGAUACUGACGCUGAGGAGCGAAAGCGUGGGGAGCAAACAGG
rnacentral:rRNA from 1 species